CCGGCACGGGUGAGUAACACGUAUCCAACCUGCCGUCUACUCUUGGCCAGCCUUCUGAAAGGGAAAGAUUAAUCCAGGAUGGCAUCAUGAGUUCACAUGUCCGCAUGAUUAAAGGUAUUUUCCGGUAGACGAUGGGGAUGCGUUCCAUUAGAUAGUAGGCGGGGUAACGGCCCACCUAGUCAACGAUGGAUAGGGGUUCUGAGAGGAAGGUCCCCCACAUUGGAACUGAGACACGGUCCAA
rnacentral:rRNA from 1 species